rnacentral:rRNA from 1 species
CCUACGGGAGGCAGCAGUAGGGAAUCUUCCACAAUGGGCGAAAGCCUGAUGGAGCAACGCCGCGUGGGUGAAGAAGGUCUUCGGAUCGUAAAACCCUGUUGUUAGAGAAGAAAGUGCGUGAGAGUAACUGUUCACGUUUCGACGGUAUCUAACCAGAAAGCCACGGCUAACUACGUGCCAGCAGCCGCGGUAAUACGUAGGUGGCAAGCGUUAUCCGGAUUUAUUGGGCGUAAAGGGCACGCAGGCGGUCUUUUAAGUCUGAUGUGAAAGCCUUCGGCUUAACCGGGGUAGUGCAUUGGAAACUGGGAGACGUGAGUGCAGAAGAGGGGAGUGGAACGCCAUGUGUAGCGGUGAAAUGCGUAGAGAUAUGGAAGAACACCAGUGGCGAAAGCGGCUCUCUGGUCUGUAACUGACGCUGAGGUUCGAAAGCGUGGGUAGCAAACAGGAUUAGAUACCCUUGUAGUC